CGAAGAUACCAGCUGGCUGCAACUGUUUAUUAAAAACACAGCACUGUGCAAACACGAAAGUGGACGUAUACGGUGUGACGCCUGCCCGGUGCUGGAAGGUUAAUUGAUGGGGUCAGCCGUAAGGCGAAGCUCCUGAUCGAAGCCCCAGUAAACGGCGGCCGUAACUAUAACGGUCCUAAGGUAGCGAAAUUCCUUGUCGGGUAAGUUCCGACCUGCACGAAUGGCGUAAUGAUGGCCAGGCUGUCUCCACCCGAGACUCAGUGAAAUUGAACUCGCUGUGAAGAUGCAGUGUACCCGCGGCAAGACGGAAAGACCCCGUGAACCUUUACUAUAGCUUGACACUGAACAUUGAGCCUUGAUGUGUAGGAUAGGUGGGAGGCUUUGAAGUGUGGACGCCAGUCUGCAUGGAGCCAACCUUGAAAUACCACCCUUUAACGUUUGAUGUUCUAACCUAGGCCCAUAAACUGGGUCGGGGACCGUGUCUGGUGGGUAGUUUGACUGGGGCGGUCUCCUCCUAAAGAGUAACGGAGGAGCACGAAGGUUGGCUAAGCAUGGUCGGACAUCAUGCGGUUAGUGCAAAGGCAUAAGCCAGCUUGACUGCGAGAGUGACGGCUCGAGCAGGUACGAAAGUAGGUCUUAGUGAUCCGGUGGUUCUGAAUGGAAGGGCCAUCGCUCAACGGAUAAAAGGUACUCCGGGGAUAACAGGCUGAUACCGCCCAAGAGUUCAUAUCGACGGCGGUGUUUGGCACCUCGAUGUCGGCUCAUCACAUCCUGGGGCUGAAGUAGGUCCCAAGGGUAUGGCUGUUCGCCAUUUAAAGUGGUACGCGAGCUGGGUUUAGAACGUCGUGAGACAGUUCGGUCCCUAUCUGCCGUGGGCGUUGGAAGAUUGAGAGGGGUUGCUCCUAGUACGAGAGGACCGGAGUGAACGCACCACUGGUGUUCGGGUUGUCAUGCCAAUGGCAUUGCCCGGUAGCUAAGUGCGGAAGAGAUAACCGCUGAAAGCAUCUAAGCGGGAAACUUGCCUCGAGAUGAGUCUUCCCUGUCGCUUUAAGCGACCUAAAGGAACGUUUAAGACUAAGACGUUGAUAGGCUGGGUGUGUAAGCGUAGCGAUACGUUGAGCUAACCAGUACUAAUGAACCGUGAGGCUUAACCUG
rnacentral:rRNA from 1 species